GCCUGGGUGGCUCAGUCGGUUAAGCAUCUGACUUUGGCUCAGGCCAUGAUCUCACGGUUCGUGGGUUCGAGCCCCGCGUCAGGCU
rnacentral:tRNA from 1 species